AUGCUUUGGCAGUACAUAUACUAAAAUGGGAAGGAUACGGCAAAAAUUAGCAUGGGCCCUGUGCAAGAAUGACACACAAAUUUGUGAAGCGUUCCAUAUUUAA